rnacentral:miRNA from 1 species
CCGGCCCUCCAGAUGUUUGGGACUACAAUUCCCAUUAUCCAUAGCUCACAGGAACAGUGGUCAGGGAUGAUGGGAAUUGUAGUUCCAAACAUCUGGAGGGACGG